rnacentral:misc_RNA from 1 species
GUAGGUGAACCUGCGGAGGGAUCAUUAACCGUAACACUUACUCGGCGCGGACCCCGGUCCCCGAGGAAAUGUCACACCCUUUGUUGUCUGACCACGUUGCCUCGGGGGUGACCCUGCCCUUUGGGCUCGGUCCCCCCGGUGGACCAAACCAAACUCUUGCGUAACUUUGCAGUCUGAGUGAUUUAUAAAUAAAUCAAAACUUUCAACAACGGAUCUCUUGGUUCUG